AGCGAACGCUGGCGGCAUGCUUAACACAUGCAAGUCGCACGGGCAGCAAUGUCAGUGGCGGGCGGGUGAGUAACGCGUAGGAACGUGUCCUGAGGUGGGGGACAACCCCGGGAAACUGGGGCUAAUACCGCAUAUGGGCUGAGGCCCAAAGCCGAGAGGCGCCUUUGGAGCGGCCUGCGUCCGAUUAGGUAGUUGGUGGGGUAAAGGCCGCCCAAGCCUGCGAUCGGUAGCUGGUCUGAGAGGACGACCAGCCACACUGGGACUGAGACACGGCCCACACUCCUACGGGAGGCAGCAGUGGGGAAUAUUGGACGAUGGGCGAAAGCCUGAUCCAGCAGUGCCGCGUGGGUGAAGAAGGUCUUCGGAUCGUAAAGCCCUUUCGACGGGGACGAUGAUGACGGUACCCGUAGAAGAAGCCCCGGCUAACUUCGUG
rnacentral:rRNA from 1 species